AAUGUGUCAGUCGUCUUGUAGCCCGGAAAAAACACAGCUGUAACGUGGAUCCAUUGAAUCUUCAGUGUCCUUGUAACACAACCGUACAAAAAUGCCGACCUCUCCUGUUAAAACGCGGAUCCCUCUGACCAGUUUUGGACACCUGAUAUCUGAAGUCAAGAGGCAACUGUUUGGGAUCGAGCCGCCGGCUACAGUGAAUUUGAGCGGAUGGAGGAAACAUUUCAACUCCUACACUCUACAGGGACGACGCAACUUUGUGCUGGUGACGUAUGCUGCCAUGGCUGUGGGCGGAGCCGCCGCCUACAUCAUCAGCAGGAGGAGGAACCAGGAAGUGGAGAAGAGCAGCAGCACCACCUCACCUUGAUCUCGCACACACACACACACACACACACACACACACACACACACACACACACACACACACACACACACACACACACACACACACACAGGGUUCUUUCCAUGAUCCUAACCAUCAUCCCCAGGUGCUGAUGAAACUGAGGUGAUCCUGUGCAGUCCAGAACUCAGGGCUCGAACCCGCUACCUCCUAGUCAACACAUCGGUUCGGCCAUGGGAGGGACAGUAUGAUACCGCUGAGCUAAAUAGCCAGUAAAAUAGUCCAGCGCUACCGAUACUGUAUGAGGCUUCGGGAGGGAGGUUUACUAACGUUCCCAUUACUUGUUCCCUGUCACACUCGUCACAAGACUUCAUUGACGACAUGAGUUGAGUUCAAUAUCUCGCAAAAACGCAAGUGAAAGGUAAUUUUGUUAUUUGCAAUUAGGAUGUUGAAACGGGAUAAGUGUGUGUGUGUGUGUGUGAGUGUUUGAGAGGGAACGAAUGACUUGGGACCGUUCUCUCUCACAGUCAGAGCGCCAGCUAGACGUACUCUAAUAAAAUGAUGUGAAUACAUGCACCCGCACCUUUUAUAGUUUGCACCCAGAAACACAAUGUCUGCACCCAGUACCUCAUCUAUGAAUGUAUGCAUCAAUAAAAAAAUGAACGAUAUCUCCUGUGAGUGCAACUUAAAUCAGAUGGGUCCAGAAACAGAUAUGUCCACAUACACAUAUGGUAAUACAGUAUGUAGGUUAAAGGAGAACUCCAGACAAUUUUAACAUGCAGUCAACACUACCCUUGACUUGUCAGUACCCGUUGAUGCUGCAUUUUUCGGAUCAGCCCUUUCCGAGAUCUGAGCUAUUCUAUUGGGGGCAGAUUUAGUUUACAUUGAAAACAUUCUUAACAUAGGCCUACUCUAAACUAUCGCUGUUUGCUAGUUGUCUGCUGAUGUUGCAUAACCUUUUGGAUGUUUUUGGGUGAAGAUGUUUUUUUUGAAAUGUAAACAAACACCUGCCCCCAUUACAAUGACCAGGAUCUCGGAAAAGGCUGAAGAAAAGAAAAGAAAACAAAAACUGACAAGUCCAGGGUAGUGUGAGCAUUACAAGUGCAUGUUGAAAUUGGCUGGAGCUAUCCUUUAAUGUAUGUGAAAUUAUAUGUGUAUCAUCUUGUGUAUUCUGUGUUUAUGUAUGCUACUGCACACUAUAAUUCCCAUGGGAAUAAUAAAUGAUACUGUACUCUA